GCUGACCAGCUAGCCCACCCUAACAAAAACAACAACCCAAUAUAAAUAACCCCAAACACACUACUCCUCCUAUAAACAAACCAUUUUACCCCCCUAGUAUGGGCGACAGAAAAGGAACUAUUGGAGCGAUAGAGAAAGUACCGCAAGGGAACGCUGAAAGAGAAAUGAAAUAACCCAGUAAAGCCUAAAAAAGCAGAGAUUUUACCUCGUAC
rnacentral:rRNA from 1 species